ACCGAAAAAAAAAAAAAAAAAAGAGUUCGAUCAAAUACUUUAUUUUUAUCCUUUAUUUGAUAUUAAAAGUAUAUUGAUUUUUCCUUAUAAUUAAAUAGUUUUUAUAAAUAUUAUAUAUUUGAUUCCAUCUAUAAAUCUAAUUUCUUUCGUAUGAGUAUUUUGUAGCUCGGAUCGGGCUCGGGUUUAUGCACGAGUUGACCCAACCCGCCCGAGUUAGCACAGCGGUAACUCCCAACAAGCCUUCGUACCUUCUCCGGUGUCACAAUUAGGAACCGCACUGAUGCGUCUCCUUCCUCCUCCGGUCCCCAUCUCCCCGGGCCAAUGGCAGCAUCCGGUCUACGCCUACCCCGACCCCCUCCCUCAAUUCGCCACAGCCGAGACGCGGAAAUUCGAGGGCGAGUUCCGGAAGACGCUUGCCAAGAGUAAGGAGAUAGUCGGCGACGACGUCGACGCCGUCUUUAAUUUUGUGCAUUUGGCUACGAGGGCAUUGGUUGGUCGAUCUCCUUGUUAUCAAGGUACGAUAGCUCGUAACAAUUUCUCGUCUGUUGAUUGGCUGGUUAAGAGUACUGAUCCAACCUGGGGAAUUGAAAUCGAAAAUGAUAGCAAGGUUGGGUUCGCAAUUCUUUCGAUCAAGAAAAGGUUUGUUUAGAUGAACUGUGACAACUUGAAAUGUUAUAAAUUAGUUAAAAAUCAGUUCUUUUUACUCCGUUAAAUAUGUUUACCAUAUUGGUAAGGAUUUGAUGCUCAAUGGACUCAUUAAUUGUUGUUCCAACUUCCAACUUAUGUUAUAUCCAUCGAAAAUAGUAGGAUCAUAGAUUGUAACAAGCUUUUCUUUAUCUUCGUUUAUAACUUUGGCUGCUCUCCAUGCUAAUCAUCCAUGUUUAGGAUCAAGACAUGGUAAUCUCCAUGCUAACCUAUUCCUUUUUCUUAUUCUUCUAAAUUUUCAGAAACGUUAUAGUGGAACUAUAAGGAGCAUAUGGUGUGAAGCUAAAUUAUCAUGAAAAGGGUUUGAAUCAUUUUAUGUCCUUAAUAAGAUUUAGAUGCUCAUUAUUCAUUCUUUAUCUAGUACACAACUGAUAUGUCCUUGCCUUUGCAAUAUAAGAUUGUUUAAGGAGAUACCAAAUCUACCUCAUUAUCAAACUUAUAACAAUGUUUUUAUGGUGCAUUGUAAUCUAGAUAUUCAACAACUUAUGUCACAAGGAGUACAGUGGUCCUGGGACACUGUUGGUGGGAAAUGUUCCUUCAACUAAAGGAGAAGAGACUUCCCGGAGCUCCUAUAGCAGCAAGUGUGGCUCUUCUGUGGGCACAAAGCUAUGUAGGCCAGGGCAGGGAGAUCUAGACUUCCCAACAGUCUCAGUGACCAUUGUUCAUUCAUAUAAUUUAUUAGGUCUUCUGACAACAGAGUGAUAGCUUCACUGUAAAAUAUGACUAGUUUCAGGUUAUAUAUAGAGUAAAUGUACGUAGAUGUUUUCUAAGAUGUUUCACUUGCUCUCCUGUCUUUUUUACUCAUGUGACUGUUUGCUUCAAAUUCAACUAAAUUGAAAUCCUGAAUCAGCAAGGAAAGCUAGUGUCAUUAACUUUGCAAUUUCUUGUUCCAUAAGCUCUAGAUCAUGAUGAUAUGUAUCUUUGUUUCUGACUCUUGUUGAUUACACGAUGGACUGUUAUUCAAAUGUAUACUUCCUCUACAAGGAGACUCUUUUAAGUUUUUCCUUAUGGUAGUACCCUCAAUUUUUCAUGAUUUGCAUCCAUAACCAAUAUCACACUAACCACAUGAACCUCAUCUCAUGCCUGAGAUGACUUGUCUUUUUGUUGUGACAACAGGGUAAGAGAAUUGCACAAUUAGCUUCCCAUCUCUGAGAUGCUCUGAAGCGAAGGACGCCAUUGCCUGCCUCUCACUGCCAUCUGUGUGCUGCUUUUUUGUCUAUCACUCCCCUGCUUUGUUGCCUGUAUCAUCUCAUAAACACACAGCAGUGAGAACACAUCCAAACAGCUGACUGACAGUAAAAGUCCCUUAAAUCUCCUGCGUUUUAUUCAGAUUAUUAUGAAGUGACUUUAUAGCAUUCUUACAAUUGUCAAACAGCAGGUAGUAAAUGGGUGACUUGGGUUUUAGUUGUUCAGGUGACUGUAGAACUUUGUGUGGUAUUUUUCUGUUCAAUAUAUUAUUACAAAAAAUGCUGUUUGACUGACAGUAAAAUCCAUAGCAGUUCAUGUAGUAUGAUGUUCAUGGAUCGCUAGCCAUUUGAAGGAUGACUUGCAGCAAAUACAGUAGAAUGUACCUGAUGUCUACUUCUUGUAUCCUCCAGAAAUGUCCACGAAAAGCUCGACGUUAGCCAGCAUCAGAAAAUCUAAACAAAGUGAUCAGGAAUUACUAGUCUGAGAUGGACUUGCAGAAGGAAGAACAGAUUCGGACCCUGGGAGGUGAUCAGCCGGUAGACUUGGCCGAGCAAGAGCAUAUCCUUGGGCUUGAGCAGCUUUACGCGGGUAAACCGGACGCUGCUGCCAUCCUUCUUCUCCUCGGAGACGUAGAGGCUGACAAGGGCAACAUGGUAGCCUGGGUUGGUCUUCAUGACGUCGGCAGCACUCGUCGGCCAGUACAGCCUCUCCACCCUCCCCCCAGGGUGUUGGAUCACCACGGUCGCCACCUCCGAUGCCUGGCAGUUUCCCAUCCUCCUCUCCUUACCUAUUUUCUUUCUCUGAUACUGUUUGGUGUAUGAUGACUAAUAUAUAUACAGCAGUGGGAGAGGGAAGGAGUGUCGAAGAGAAGAAAGCAGCAUUCAACCAACUGCAGCUGCUGCCAUUUUGCGUUUGGCCUUAUUUAACGUGAUGGAAGGGAGGUAAGGCUCUCAAACACUGAUAUUAUACCAUAAUGUAUCCUGCACUUGGUGUGUUAAUAUAUUGCAGGGAUAGAGAUAGAGAGAGGGGGCCAAUGGGAGCACACUUCCUCGGUUGAUGGGCUAUCUUCCACGUGGCAUGAUGUCGAUGAGUGGUGGGUUGGGAAAUAGCAUAUGGCAGGCGUGGUCUACGUUGCAGGCCAUGGAUGUGGAUGAGGGAGACGUCAUCAUCUAUUGCAUGCAGCAGCUGCUGCAACACCAACACCACCAAGGAGCCUGAGAUUCUUCAUGUCAUGAGCGUGGUCCGGGGGAUGUGAAGGGCCACAUUACCAACAAGAAGGUAAGACGCUGAAUCACUGAUAGAGAAGUAACCUCUCGUUGCUUUGUUCAUCUCACCAGCUCAUAUGGAGUGAGUGAGACCUGGGGAACCAAAGCUACCACCUUUCUGCGAUGGUUGCUCAUUGCUACCUGAAGAUGGCUUAUCUUUUUGGUGCUGGCUCAGAGAGUCAGGUAACGGUCAGCAGCAGUUGCUGCCGUCUCUGUGUUUCACUAAUAUAGUAUUGCUUAAAGAUGUGGUUUUCAGUUCAUGAAGCUUUCAUUCUGAUGCUGUUGAAGAAAAUGUUCCAAGGUAACCCACCUUGUUUUGUGUGUGCAUUGCAUCUGCUUUAGGUGAUUGUGGCAUGAAAUCAGUGAUCAUAGUCAAUGUCCAAAAGUAGGGUCUAUUGAUUACUGCACCGCUUGCACCUGGAUUUCAUUAGUGUAUCCAAAGCAUCUUCAUUUGUUUAGUCGCCAUAGUUCUAUACAUAAACAUGCUUCCAUGUUCGUUUCUGAAAUAGUUAGCUUAUGUGCAUCAGACAAAUAACUUUAAACAAGUACUUUGGACGGUCACCAUUAUUAUUAUUAUUAUUAUUAUUAUUAUUAUUAUUAUUCUUUUCAGCACACCCUUCUGCCAUAUAUAUUAAACAGUACCACCACCACCUUAUCUAAGUGCCAUAAAUCUGGUGGUGGUUGUGUGGUGGUAUGUGAAUACUUUAACCCUAUCGUACUGUGUAUCAGAACAGGGACUACUCACCAGACAGUUUGGAUGUUUGCAGGGGAACCCCAUAAGAAGUUAGAAGGUAUGACACUCUUAAAAUACUAGGUUUUUGGACUGAUGCAUACAUGUAAAGAAUGGGUUAUCUAAGUUUCUCUUCCUUCAAAGCAGUCCUCCCCAGUGUCAAGAUCCCCCUUCAUUUGGUCCACAUGCCCACUACGUGCCAUUAAGAGGCCAUGUGGAGUGUCGGAUUUCUCACACAGACCUAUCUCUUCUUAUUCAAACAAAAACCAAGAGGAGAUGAUGACCUAAGGUACCUACCUCUUCUUCUGAAUUCCACUAAUUUAGCUAUCUAGAUAUCAGGAUUAAAAUAUCUUAAGCAUAUGAAAGUUGCUUUGCUGAACUACAAGCAAGCUGGUGAUCUUUCUGGACCCUCCUUUUGUCAUGCAUGUCCUGUUGGCAGAAUACAGUCAGGUGCCAUUUGUCAUCUUUUGAAGAAUAUAAUUCAGACCAUGCUUAGAUACACUUCUGGUUGGCUCCACAUCUUACAUUCAGUACUCAAUCUGAUGCCUUUGGAUCAAGCGACUCAAGUCCCUGAAAACUUCUCACUAGAGGAUAUGGAUUAUCCUUGAAAUGUAGUAUUUCUCAGCACAGUUAUACUACGGUUUGGAAGAGUACAAAGACAUCACCAUUAAAAAUUAGGCAAACUUGGAUUUCCAAUAGGCAAAUAUGAAAUGUUCUCACUACACCAAUAUUAUUUGCUUUCUUAGAUUAAAUGCAACACAAGAACCAACUGUGCCAUGUUUCAGAUAAUGGCUUUUUGUUGAGAUGGACCCUUCAGGCCUUCAUUCUCUGAGACAGUAGUAGCAAUGCCUGUCCACAACCCUCUCCCUUUCUCGUCUCCUUGUCUGGGUUUCUUUGACCGAGACAAGACUCAUGAUUUCGGACAGGACUCAUGAUUUCGGUGCUCCAUAAUGCAUUCAUUUCAGUAAGUAGUGGUACUUUGUGCACUUUGAAGCUCCAUUAUUGCAGGCUUGCAGCUACCACCACAAAGAUUUCCAGUGCAAGAGCUGGACUUUUGGAAUGCAGAAAGCUUUAAAACUUGUUAUCAACUACUUGAAAAGGAAUUAGGUAAAUCUGAAGAACAAAUCAGGUUCUCAGCCUUCAGCUGAAGCUUAAUCAAAGUCAAACCACUUGACAACAUAAUCAACUCCAAAAGAACAGCUAUGGGCCCUGGCACAAAGGUUUGGCAGGAUCUGAUACCCUUGACCCCAUAUUUGUGGACUUGAUCUUGAUAUCACAAUUGAGCUGCUCAAAAGUUUGUUUUGAACUCAAGUUGUGUUAGGUCACAUUGAUGCAACAUAAACUUAAAAAUGCAAUUUUAUGGUCAACAGGAG